AUCAUGUUAAGAGUGCUGGACUUCUUGGUGAUGGCUUUGGUUCAACGCCAAAGAUGUGCAGAAAGAACCUGAUAUGGGUGGUUACACGAAUGCAGGUGGUGGUAGAUCGCUAUCCUACUUGGUUUAUGAAGUUCUAAAGUUGCUGAAUGAGCUCUACCUACUACAGCUAGAGAUCAAGAUGCUCAACAGGUGUUGGAUAAGGAAUUCCGUUUUAGUUAAUUCCCCCAGUCUUCUGCAAAAAUUCGGAAUGGAUAUACUUCCUUUGUUGAUCCAGUUUUUUGGCCGGAG